rnacentral:lncRNA from 1 species
GUGUGUGUGUGUGUGUGUGUGUGUGUGUAUUUAUGCUAUUAUCACUCACAUCAUUAAGCAAUACUUAUUGAAAUUCAUUUCUCUUUCUUACCAGCUGGGUCUCAAACCUUUCGAGCCGAUUUAGGGCCACCACUGUGAAGGUUUACCUGGGCAACGUGUCAAAAUUCAUCAGUUAUUUGACCCUUGACCGGCCGCGUGGUACAAAAAUUGGAAACAACAGUUUGCGGGCCCUUUCUGUUGCAUUGAGGCGGUUGAAUGACACAAUACUCACUGAGGUGAAGCAUCGAAGGCUGGAGGUGCGUCAUGAAAAGUCCAAAAAUAUGUUAAAAAUGACCACAUUAGAACAACUCGUCCGGAAGACAUCAGAGCGAAUUCCCAAGGCUUUGGAUUACCUGGCGCACAACAGCAAUUCGGAUUCGCUGAGGUCAUGUCUUGGGUACAUAGCCACGUAUUUAUACGCCACUACUGGUCAUCGGAGUGCUGUGGUUUCGAACAUGACCGUUCGCGAGUUCCAGGAUGCUGACGAGCACGACGGGAGAUACGUCAUAAACGUGAAGGAUCACAAGACUGCAGCAUCCUUUGGGAUGGCAAAAAUCCCAUUGUCUUCAUCAGAGAUGGCCUGGCUGAAAAAGUUCUUUGAUCUGAGACCCACGCUGCCAGGCUACACGGAAGAGGUGCCGACUUUUUUCUUCACCUCGAAGGGUCAGGUCUUCUCCAAGAUUAGCCAGGUGGUCGCCGAGACGUGUCAGAAGCUUGGCUUCAGCCCAAACAUUUCGGUGACCUCCAUCAGAAGCGCUGUUGCGACCUGUGUGGAGCGUAACCUGCCGACAGACGAACGUCGGGAUGUCACAAACCUUAUGUGCCACUCGGAGGAGGUGGCGAACCGAUAUUACGUUGGAGAACGGUCCGUGAUCGAGGCACAUGCCGCUCGUCUCAAACUGCGCUCUGCACUGGGCCUUGGGGGUGCCACGCCAGGUGACCGUGGGCAUUCCUGCAAUAACGUGGACCACAACGAGGAGCAGCAGCAGCAGCAGCAGCAGCAGCAGCAGAAGGAGGAGGAGGAGGAG